rnacentral:rRNA from 1 species
CCUACGGUAGGCAGCAGUGAGGCAUAUUGGUCAAUGGGAGAGAUCCUGAACCAGCCAAGCCGCGUGAGGGAAGACGGCCCGAUGGGUUGUAAACCUCUUUUGUCGGAGAACAAAACCCGGGACGAGUCCCGGACUGCGUGUAUCCGCAGAAAAAGCAUCGGCCAACUCCGUGCCAGCAGCCGCGGUAAUACGGAGGAGGCGAGCGUUAUCCGGAUUUAUUGGGUUCAAAGGGUGAGUAGGCGGUCUGUAAAGUCAGCGGUAAAAUUGCGGGGCUCAACCCCGUCGAGCCGUUGAAACUGGCAGACUUGAGUUGGCGAGAAGUACGCGGAAUGCGCGGUGUAGCGGUGAAAUGCAUAGAUAUCGCGCAGAACUCCGAUUGCGAAGGCAGCGUACCGGCGCCAGACUGACGCUGAGGCACGAAAGCGUGGGGAUCGAAAGGGAUUAGAUACCCUGGUAGUC